ACGACGCUGGCGGCGUGGAUUAGGCAUGCAAGUCGAACGGUAUCAUCCUUUCGGGGAUGAGAGAGUGGCGAACGGGUGAGUAACACGUAGGUGAUCUACCCUCAAGACGGGGACAACCCAGGGAAACUUGGGCUAAUACCGGAUGUGAGCUAUCGUGAGAUAGUUUGAAAGGUGGCUUCGGCUGCCGCUUGAGGAUGAGCCUGCGUCCUAUUAGCUAGUUGGUGAGGUAACGGCUCACCGAGGCAGUGAUAGGUAGGCGGCCUUAACGGGUGGUCGCCCACACUGGGAUUGAGAUACGGCCCAGACUCCUACGGGAGGCAGCAGUCGAGAAUAGUCUACAAUGGUCGGAAGACUGAUAGUGCGACGCCGCGUGAACGAUGAAUCCCUUCGGGGUGUAAAGUUCUUUUAUAUGUGAGCAGUGCUUCUUAUAUUAACAGUAUGGGGAGAGAGAUAUUAGCAUAUGAAUAAGCAACGGCUAACUCCGUG
rnacentral:rRNA from 1 species